rnacentral:rRNA from 1 species
CUAAGCAUAUCAAUAAGCGGAGGAAAAGAAACCAACAGGGAUUGCCUCAGUAACGGCGAGUGAAGCGGCAACAGCUCAAAUUUGAAAUCUGGCCCCGUCGGGGUCCGAGUUGUAAUUUGUAGAGAGUGUUUCGGGUGAGACCACGGUCUAAGUCUAUUGGAACAUGGCGUCAUAGAGGGUGAGAAUCCCGUAUGUGACCGUGGCUCGAGCCCAUGUGAAGCCUCUUCGACGAGUCGAGUUGUUUGGGAAUGCAGCUCAAAAUGGGUGGUAAAUUUCAUCUAAAGCUAAAUACUGGCUGGAGACCGAUAGCGCACAAGUAGAGUGAUCGAAAGAUGAAAAGCACUUUGGAAAGAGAGUCAAAAAGUACGUGAAAUUGUUGAAAGGGAAGCGCUUGCAACCAGACCUGUCCGUAGGUGAUCAGCCGCUGUUCUCAGCGGUGCACUCGCUCUGCGAUCAGGCCAGCAUCGGUUUCGGCGGUCGGAUAAAGGCCCUGGGAAUGUAGCUUCCUUCGGGGAGUCUUAUAGCCCUCGGUGCAAUGCGGCCAGCCGGGACCGAGGACCGCGCUUCGGCUAGGAUGCUGGCGUAAUGGUUGUAAGCGACCCGUCUUGAAACACGGACCAAGGAGUCUAACAUCUAUGCGAGUGUUUGGGUGUCAAACCCAUGCGCGGAAUGAAAGUGAACGGAGGUGAGAACCCUUUAGGGCGCAUCAUCGACCGAUCCAGAUGUCUUCGGAUGGAUUUGAGUAUGAGCAUAGCUGUUGGGACCCGAAAGAUGGUGAACUAUGCCUGAAUAGGGUGAAGCCAGAGGAAACUCUGGUGGAGGCUCGCAGCGGUUCUGACGUGCAAAUCGAUCGUCAAAUUUGGGUAUAGGGGCGAAAGACUAAUCGA